UAGUAGACAAAAAUACUAAUGUAUUAAAUUUUAUUUAGUACAAUUGGAAUGGAAACAAUCCAAAACCCUUAUUGAGUAACAAUUAGAGGGCAAGUCUGGUGCCAGCAGCCGCGGUAAUUCCAGCUCUAAUAGCGUAUAUUAAUACUGUUGCAGUUUAAAAACGCUCGUAGUUGAACUUAGAAUUAUUACAAGUUAUUUUACUUGAUUGUAAAGUGCUUGCUUAAUUCUUAUCUACUAGAUACUCUAUUCUGUACUUAAUUGUAUGGAAUAUCACCUAGCCAGUGGAACUUUGGUAGAAUAAUGCCUUUUUUAAUACCAGAGCGUAAAAACUUGAAGUGUUAAAUUGGGAUCACAUUAUUUUAUUGAAGUGGGGUUCUAGUUAAUUUACUUUGAGUAAAUUAGAGUGUUCAAAGCAGCCUCUUGGGGCUUUGAAUAGAUUUAGCAUGAGAUAAUAGAAUAGGAUUUGAUAAUCUAUUUGUUGGUUUGAAUUAAUCAAAUAAUGAUUAAUAGGGACAGUUGGGGGC
rnacentral:rRNA from 1 species